GCGAGGGUAGCCAAGCAUGGCCAACGGCGCAAGGUUCAGGGCCUUGUCCCGCAGGGGUCCAAGGGUUCGAAUCCCUUCCCUCGCA
rnacentral:tRNA from 1 species